rnacentral:rRNA from 1 species
AGUAGUUUGAUCAUGGCUCAGGACACGCUGGCGGCGCGCCUAACACAUGCAAGUCGAACGGGACUAGUGACCGGAACUUAGAGUUUCUCUAGGUUGCGUUCACUAGUUCAGUGGCGGACGGGUGAGUAAAGCAUGAGUAACUUUCCCAUUAGUGGGGAAUAGCUUUUGGAAACAGAAGAUAAUACCGCAUACAUCGUUGAGGACUCAUGUUCUCUUCGGAAAAGAAGCAAUUCGCUUAUGGAUAGGCUCAUGUCUGAUUAGCUUGUUGGUGAGGUAAUGGCUCACCAAGGCCAUGAUCAGUAGCCGUACCGAGAGGUUCAACGGCCACAUUGGGACUGAGACACGGCCCAGACUCC